rnacentral:rRNA from 1 species
AGAUGGCGACCGGCGCACGGGUGAGUAACACGUAUCCAACCUGCCGAUAACUCGGGGAUAGCCUUUAGAAAGAAAGAUUAAUACCCGAUGGUAUAAUCAGACCGCAUGGUUUGAUUAUUAAAGAAUUUCGGUUAUCGAUGGGGAUGCGUUCCAUUAGGCAGUUGGUGAGGUAACGGCUCACCAAACCUUCGAUGGAUAGGGGUUCUGAGAGGAAGGUCCCCCACAUUGGAACUGAGACACGGUCCAA